AUCUUUUUUAAAAAUAUAUUAAAGUUAAUUUUAAGUUAAUUAAAAAUUUCUUUGAUCGAAACGAAAUGAAUUUUCAUUCAACUCGAUUCGUGUUUAAUUAUGUUGAUCAGUCAAAACGUGUAUAUUAUAAAUUCCAUAAAUUUUAAAUAUAAACGAAUCAUCUUGUACUUGUAACAUUUAUAAAAUAUGCAAAAAAAUAAAAAAUAUAUUAUGCGUGUAAUAUGAAAAGUAUGCAAUUUGCAUGAAAAUCUAAUCAUUAAGAAAAAAUAGUAGAAAUUUAUUAGAAAUGCGAUCUCUGAGUGGGAGUCCUUAUUUAUAUGAUUUAUUCAUACAAAAUUCUCUAAUUAUUCCGAAGAAUAUGGGGCAAAGAGCAAAAAAAACGAACGAUUCAUCUCGCAAUGAAGCGAACUGAAAAAAACGUUGAAAGGACACUUGGAUAGAGAAGUGACACAUUGAGUCAGCGUUGCACAGCAUAACCUAUAAGUUCGAUCGUUUCUUGAACACGUUCGACCACACGUGAGAGCCCUCCAAUCGAAAACUUUCCUCCUCUUCUAUAUCGAGGUGUAAGAGUCUUGGAGGGAGAAAAAACUGAUUCGACAGAAAACUACCGAAUAAAACUGAUCGCCGCAAUAGCAAUUCAAAAGGUCAGAUCUUCGUUGUAAUUCCUGUAUCCCCUCUCCAAUAUAACCUACACGUUUUAUGCUUACGCGUCAUAUUUUUUUUUAAUAAUCAGAUUAAAGAGAGAAAUUGUGUGGACACUUUGUCGGAUUUUUUUUCUCACACGCUUUUUAUAAACAGAAUUUCGAAAGUAUACUCGGCCGGAAUACACAAUGGACGUGAUCCGCAUAAGGAACUCGCAAACGUACGUAGGCGAAGGAAAAAUUGAGCGACGCGAGGGAAAAACUCACGCGGCGAAGGAAGAAAGGUCGAGAGAAGGAGGAUCAUCGAUGAAACAAGGAAUCUCGAAUGCGAAGAAAUUCGGAAAGAUUUAUCGGAAAAUUAGAGAGAAAAAGAGAAGAAAAGAAAA